CCAACGGCCCUCUUUAGGGCCACAUGUUCUAUCGAAUACUACUAG
rfam:Ancylostoma duodenale strain Zhejiang A_duodenale-1.0_Cont13566.3, whole genome shotgun sequence.